rnacentral:rRNA from 1 species
AGAGUUUGAUCCUGGCUCAGGACGAACGCUGACGGUGUGCUUUAGACAUGCAAGUCGAACGAGAAAGCCCUUCGGGGUGAGUACAGUGGCGAACGGGUGAGUAACACGUGGGUAACCUGCCCCUCGCAGGGGGACAACCGGGGGAAACCCCGGCUAAUACCCCGUACGCUCCGAGGUCCGCAUGGUCCUCGGAGGAAAGGUAGCUUCGGCCAUCCGGCGAGGGAUGGGCCCGCGGUACAUUAGCUAGUUGGUGGGGUAACGGCCUACCAAGGCGACGAUGUAUAGCUGGUCUGAGAGGAUGAUCAGCCACACUGGGACUGAGACACGGCCCAGACUCCUACGGGAGGCAGCAGUCGGGAAUCUUGCGCAAUGGGCGAAAGCCUGACGCAGCAACACCGUGUGGGCGACGAAGGCCUUCGGGUCGUAAAGCCCUGUUGUUGGGGACGAAGGGCGAAGGGUUAAUAGCCCCUAGCCUGACGGUACCCUUCGAGGAAGCCCCGGCUAACUACGUGCCAGCAGCCGCGGUAAUACGUAGGGGGCGAGCGUUGUCCGGAAUUAUUGGGCGUAAAGAGCGUGUAGGCGGUUCGGUAAGUCUGCCGUGAAAACCUGGGGCUCAACCCCGGGCGUGCGGUGGAUACUGCCGGGCUAGAGGAUGGUAGAGGCGAGUGGAAUUCCCGGUGUAGCGGUGAAAUGCGCAGAUAUCGGGAGGAACACCAGUAGCGAAGGCGGCUCGCUGGGCCAUUCCUGACGCUGAGACGCGAAAGCUAGGGGAGCGAACAGGAUUAGAUACCCCCGUAGUCC